AUGCUGGCCGAUGGAAGGGCUUGUGAGGUUGCCGUGGGUGAGGCCGCGGUGGCCGUCGAGGCUGGUCGCAGAGAGAAAAAAAGAAGAGAAAACUUUUAUACAAAUUAUAUUGAAUCAUUGGCUGCGGUUUUAACAUUUCCAUUGCAGCUUGUUGUCGACGUUGUUAUAGAUGUUGUGUCUCUUCUUACUGCAAAACAAAAGAGUGUUGGACUGUAUGGGUGGAUGGUGUUGUGCGUGGAGAGAGGAUGA